UAUCGGAUUGGUACUAAGCCAUGUGAGUCAUUGUAGCAAUACAAGGCAUACGGCUCAGUAACACGUAGUCAAUCUAACCUAUGGACGUGGAUAACCUCGGGAAACUGAGAAUAAUCCGCGAUAGAUCAUUAUACCUGGAACGGUUUAUGGUCCAAAUGAUUCGUCGCCAUAGGAUGGGACUGCGGCCUAUCAGCUUGUUGGUGAGGUAAUGGCCCACCAAGGCUAUUACAGGUACGGGCUCUGAGAGGAGAAGCCCGGAGAUGGGUACUGAGACACGGACCCAGGCCCUAUGGGGCGCAGCAGGCGAGAAACCUUUGCAAUGUGCGCAAGCACGACAAGGCUAAUCCGAGUGUUUCCUGCUAAAGGAAUCUUUUGUUAGUUCUAAAGCCACUAGUGAAUAAGGGGUGGGCAAGU
rnacentral:rRNA from 1 species